AUACGAAGGGGGCUAGCGUUGUUCGGAAUUACUGGGCGUAAAGCGCGCGUAGGCGGACUGAUCAGUUGGGGGUGAAAUCCCAGGGCUUAACCCUGGAACUGCCUCCAAUACUGUCAGUCUUGAGUUCGGGAGAGGUGAGUGGAAUUCCUAGUGUAGAGGUGAAAUUCGUAGAUAUUAGGAAGCACACCAGUGGCGAAGGCGGCUCACUGGCCCGAUACUGACGCUGAGGCGCGAAAGCGUGGGGAGCAAACAGGAUUAGAUACCCUAGUAGUCC
rnacentral:rRNA from 1 species